CUCUCAGUCCGUUCUUCUUCUCUCUCAGUCUCCGUUCUUCUUCUCUCCCAGUCCGUUCUUCUUCUCUCCCAGUCCGUUCUUCUUCUCUCCCAGUCCGUUCUCCAUAUCCAGUUAGUUCCAGCAGCUGUGUCUCCACGUCUCCAUCCAGAACAUUAAUCAUUUUCAGCAUGGCUCGGGGAACCCUGGAGCAGUUGUGUGUGUCCAUGGUGCGUGUGUGUAUGUGUGUGUGUCCAUGGUGCUUGUGUGUAUGUAUGUGUGUGUGUGUGUGUGUGUGUGUGUGUAUGUGUGCGCGUGUGUGUGUGUCUGCUCUUCAGAACCGUUCUCUGCCUAGCCUGCUCCUACCAGUGCUGAUGUCAGCUGUUGCGUCACAUGUCCCCAGGCUGUUGGUGAUUAUGGGAUGAGUUAUGUGGUCAGCUGCCAUGGCGACCAGAGAAGGUGUGGCGGGAUGGGGUGCAUGAGUUCAUGACCACAGCGUCACAUGAUGCCACCACCUCCUCCACCACCUCCUCCACCACAACCUCCUCCACCUCCCCGACCACCUCCACCACCUUCAUCUCCUCCACCUCCUCCUACACUUCCUCCACCUCCUCCUCCUCCUCCACCUCCCCACCUCAUCCACCACCUCCUCCACCUCCCCACCCACCACAGUCUCCACCUCCUCCACCACCUCCUCCACCUCCUCCACCACCUCCUCCACCUCCCCCACCACCGCCUCCAUCUCCACCUGGGCGGAGGCACCACCCACGCGGGCCGUCCAAUCACAGCUCAGUGCGGGCGUGUGAACAUCUGCCUGGGCAGGGCCCUUCCAGAUGUUCAGACGGUACAGGGUUUCUGUUUGAACGUCUCCGCCGUCAUGAGGGGCUGAGCACGGGAAGGGCUCAGACCUCAGAGUCUCCACCCCCUCAACCCACCCUGCACCUGGUUCCUCACGCUGUGGUUCCACAUACUGGGGCUCCUUCAGAGUCAGGUGACUCUCCCCGUCCCGCUGGCUGUCCAAUGGGAGGCGCUCUGUCGUUACUGCUGGACUGUCCAUCUCUCCGUCCCCUGGACCUCCAGACCUCUCCCU
ensembl:lncRNA